rnacentral:rRNA from 1 species
UUUGAUCCUGGCUCAGGAUGAACGCUGGCGUCGUGCUUAACACAUGCAAGUCGAACGAAGCAGGAGGGUGCUUGCACCUUCCUGCUGAGUGGCGGACGGGUGAGUAACACGUGGAUAAUCUGCCCUGCACAGGGGGACAACAGCUAGAAAUGGCUGCUAAUACCGCAUAAGCCUACAGCCUCGCAUGAGGGAGUAGGAAAAGAAAUUCGGUGCAGGAUGAGUCCGCGUCUGAUUAGCUAGUUGGAGGGGUAAAAGCCCACCAAGGCAACGAUCAGUAGCCGGCCUGAGAGGGCGACCGGCCACAUUGGGACUGAGACACGGCCCAAACUCCUACGGGAGGCAGCAGUGGGGAAUAUUGCACAAUGGGGGAAACCCUGAUGCAGCGACGCCGCGUGAGCGAGGAAGUAUUUCGGUAUGUAAAGCUCUAUCAGCAGGGACGAAAAAAGACGGUACCUGACUAAGAAGCCCCGGCUAACUACGUGCCAGCAGCCGCGGUAAUACGUAGGGGGCAAGCGUUAUCCGGAUUUACUGGGUGUAAAGGGAGCGUAGACGGCAAGGCAAGCCAGAAGUGAAAGGGCAGGGCUCAACCCUGUACAUGCUUUUGGAACUGUGGUGCUAGAGUGCAGGAGAGGUAAGUGGAAUUCCUAGUGUAGCGGUGAAAUGCGUAGAUAUAUGGAAGAACACCAGUGGCGAAGGCGGCUGUCUGGUCUGCAACUGACGCUGAGGCUCGAAAGCAUGGGUAGCGAACAGGAUUAGAUACCCUGGUAGUCCAUGCCGUAAACGAUGAGUGCUAGGUGUUGGAGGGUUUCCGCCCUUCAGUGCCGGAGCUAACGCAUUAAGCACUCCGCCUGGGGAGUACGACCGCAAGGUUGAAACUCAAAGGAAUUGACGGGGGCCCGCACAAGCGGUGGAGCAUGUGGUUUAAUUCGAAGCUACGCGAAGAACCUUACCAGGUCUUGACAUCUUGCGCUAACCUUAGAGAUAAGGCGUUCCCUUCGGGGACGCAAUGACAGGUGGUGCAUGGUCGUCGUCAGCUCGUGUCGUGAGAUGUUGGGUUAAGUCCCGCAACGAGCGCAACCCUUGUUACUAGUUGCCAGCAUUAAGUUGGGCACUCUAGUGAGACUGCCGGUGACAAACCGGAGGAAGGUGGGGACGACGUCAGAUCAUCAUGCCCCUUAUGACCUGGGCUACACACGUGCUACAAUGGACGGUACAACGAGUGGCAAACUCGCGAGAGCAAGCUAAUCUCUUAAAGCCGUUCUCAGUUCGGACUGUAGGUUGCAACUCGCCUACACGAAGUCGGAAUCGCCUAGUAAUCGCGGAUCAGCAUCCCGCGGUGAAUACGUUCCCGGGCCUUGUACACACCGCCCGUCA